rnacentral:rRNA from 1 species
GUGUCAGCCGCCGCGGUAAGACAGAGGGUGCAAACGUUGCUCGGAAUCACUGGGCGUAAAGGGCGUGUAGGCGGGAAUGUAAGUCGGGCGUGAAAUCCCUGGGCUCAACCCAGGAACUGCACUCGAAACUGCGUUUCUUGAGUACUGGAGAGGAAAGCGGAAUACCUGGUGUAGAGGUGAAAUUCGUAGAUAUCAGGUGGAACACCAGCGGCGAAGGCGGCUUUCUGGACAGUAACUGACGCUGAGACGCGAAAGCGUGGGGAGCAAACAGGAUUAGAAACCCCCGUAGUCC